GUAAAAGAUCACUCCAAACAGGAGAUCACGUGACUAAAGCUUUUGAGAAUGGCGAACGGGCAUUUCUUUCUUUUUCCUUGUAAGGUAUGCAUUCAUGCAGACAGAUAUAGAUAAGAUCUCUUUUUAUAAAAGAAGAAAUUCGAUACCUUAUCAAUGGUAACAACUCAUUUGAAGCAUAUAUAUACAAGAGGAAUUUGUCUCUUUAGGCCCUUUUUUAUUUACUGUUCACUCGAGUAUCAUUAUCAACAAAACAGAUUCUCCUUUUCUUUUUUGGUAGAUUAAGGAUGUUACUUUUCUUGUAAUUUGGCUUUCACUUUCUAUUUUGAUUCUUGUUUCAAAAUGGUGAGACGCUGUACAAUGGUAGAAUCGCCUAUUUUACACAUUCCAUAAAUAUUGUAAUUGUUAUUAAGAAGUUAUAGUUGAAGUGUACUGUGUCUUACUCUUUGGCUAUUGGUAGUUGACGUCUUUACUGAAAUUUUAAUUCAUGGGAUCCAAUUGGGCGGGGAAUGUGAAUUUAGUCUUCUUAUAAGUUAUAUGGUCUUUGGUAAUUCUCUAGCUAGCUUUUAGGGUUUGAAUUAGGCCCAAGGUUCAUUUUCUUAUUAAGCGAAGGUUGUAAUGAAUGGGCCUCUCAAAACAUUAUACUCCUAUUACUUUGAAUUUCUGCAAUUGUGUACAUCUAUAGGAUAUUUUGUUUGUUCAAGCCUAUGGCAUGUAGUACAUGAGUGUUUUGGUAUGAAGAUAAUUGCUGCCAUAUGCUUAUUUGGUGAUGAAAUUCCGGAUGUUGGUCAAUACAGGAGCAAAAUUAUUAAUUAAUCCAAGUGUAUUAUCCAAAACAAACAACAAGUGUAAAGACAAUUUUGAUGUUAAAAGAAUAAGACGGGAAAUUGGACAGAAACAUUCGCUAUAAAAAGUUGUAAACGGAGAAAUACUAAUUCUCUAUUUUUGAUGUUUAUUCAUAGGCCAAAGUAGUUAUCUAUAUCACUUGUGUUGCUUUUCAUCUUUAGUUGUUCGGGUGAUACUUGAGAAAACUGCUUUAGAAUGGAUCUUAUUUCUGAUUAGUUAUAAAACCUUCAGUCUUAGCAUGAAGAAAUCUAUUAUUGAUUGUCAACUGACUCAAAGAACACCACUUCAAUUCUUUUCCCUUUUCUCUCAUCUUUGUUGAAGAGCUUGAAUUGAGGAAGAAUGAUAUAUUUUCUUAUAAAAUAUGUUUAUAUAGAUUCUCCAUCCCCUAAACAUGGAUUUGUAAUACAGUUUUCUGCUCCUUAUAUUUAGACAUAAUUCGGAGAGCUUAUGUUGAUUUGUGGAGUUAAAGACUUGAUUCUCAUUGACGAAGCAUUUGCAAUAUUUCUGAAGUUGCAAAUGGAGGAAAGUGCUUAACACAUGAUUUGUUUGAUUAGAAUUGGUUUCUGUAUAUGACCUUGCAAAGGCUUUUUACUUCAAGAAUUAUAGAUAUAUGGAACAUUCAACUGCUAAAGGUUAUGCAUAUCCUGUACUGCUAAAAACUAUGCAACCCAGAAUAUUAGAUAUUAGAUCCGAAAAUGAGAUCCCAGCAGAUCCAGUGGUAUCAUAUAUAAUUUGGAAUUCUAUUCUUACACAUUAUUUUCUUCCGGGGUGGAGAUGAGACAUAAUUAGUCAUGCUUCGCCUUCUGUGUGGAGAUGAGAUCUCUUAGCUCCAACUGAAACCAUUUAAGUCAAGUUGCUUGCAACUAGAAGCAGCAUCAGUUUGGUCAUCCGUGUUUAGGUCCAGCUUAGGAGCAAAGUAAGGCAGCUCAUACUCUUGUGACGAUAUCUGCUUCUCUGGUUUCAUUGAAUCACUUCUCUCAGAAGAUUGAUGAAAUAGUUUACUGUCUGCAUUUAUUCCAUUAAGUCUUCCAUCAAAGUAGGUACUGCUAACAUUCCGUUUUCCUCCUUGAAGUCCAAUGUUCAUUGAUAAGUUGCUCCAACUUGUCUCUUUGGUAAAUUCUUUUUCUGAAUCCCCAUCCAUUUUGGGAAACAGUUUUCUGUUCUCCUUGAGGUCGUCACGCCAUCUUAGUUCAGUCUGCUGUAACCUGGUCUCAUUUUCAAUAUCCUUCGUACAUGGUCCGAAGUUUAAAGGCCUCAAACCAAUCUGGCUAUUAUGCAUUUCCCGCAGGUCCCUCAGGGGGCGUUCAGAGGACGUUAAGCAGCUAUCCAUUGAGCAAUCUGCUGGCGGGGUUGCUUGUGUUUGUGGGGUGUGAAAUCCUGAAAGUUCUUUUAUCUCUGAAAAAGCAGAAUUAAGGCAUUGGUUGGAUACUUUGGAUACCAAAUCAGACAGUUGAUCCUUGGCUGCCUCUAAUCCGAUUGUUCCCAAGUUUUGUGUUCCAAGGGUUUCUUGUGCUUUCUCAAGCACAGCUUGCAAAUAUUUCCCUUGAGCCUCUAUCCUUAGCUGCAAAUGUCGUUGCACCUAUAUCAGUUCAAUUAUGCCUCAUUUAGAUGCCAGCAAAGGAAAACUUUCAUUGACUUGUAAAGUUUGGAUAGAAGUAAAUCUAUGCAGAGUCUCUUAAUUUGGAUCGUCAAGUCUUAAAACAAAAGCACUAUCUGGGACCAGAAAAUAGACUAAGUAAUAUAUUGGAGUUCAAUUAGUCAUCAUCAGAAGCCCGUAAGGAAGAUUCUUCAUUACUAGUAAUGUUUGCAUAGAAUCACAUUGUUAAAUUAUUACUCCUUAGAGCAAAAUCUCUAUUUUGGACUAGGACUAUUAAACUACUUGCUCAAGCUGUUAUUCCAUUAUCUUGUUUCCACAAAUAUGAGAAAUAUGGUUCUGGUAAAUCAAUAUUCUUUAAUGAAAAUGAAAAUGCCUGAUAAUGUUUCAACAAUCUAUUGCUUCUGACUUUUCUUCAGAUUAUGACACAGGAUGUCUCAUCUGUUGCUACUAACAUAUUCCACAUUGGCUUUUAUGGUUCUAACUAAACUUAUGUAAGAGAAAUUUUGCAACAGUUUCUUACCUCAAGCUGUUCAUGCAGCCUUCUUUGGACUUCAAUUUGCAUUUGUAUUGCUUCGCUUAUUGGUAUGUUGCUGGACAAAAAGAAAUUUAUGGUCGCGAUAGUGUAAGGUAUGGUUUGGACAUGAAGCAGGAUGAUAUUAACAAUUCAAUUCUCUUAAUUCGUACUUGUUUUGUUGGGGUCCAAUGCUUGGAAUAUUGCUCAUAGGGGUUCCAGUGCUCUCGCAUAUCUUCUCUAUACUGGCUGCUGUAAUUAUUUACAAACAAUAAGUAUAUGAAGGUUCUCUAUCUGUGGAAGAAGCUUUCUGGAUAUAUAUAUCCUUGAAAAAUAUUGGAUUUCUUUUUCUUACCAGAUUUAUUGGCCCCGCUAAUAUUUGCUUGUCCAUGGAGGUUCUUACUUAGUCUGUAUUUCUGCCAGCCAAAAUAGAAAAUUAGAUUUUCAUGAGCAAUUCAAACGUAUCUGAAUGACUGAAUGACAGGUUUGCUCUUCAAUUAUUUGACAUAAACAAUUUUAACGGUCUUUCCAGUUGAUUUGGCAGAUUUUUUCGCUCUUAACCAAAUGUUUUUUGUUUGGAAUGGUGUAUGGCAGCUAUGUUAUGAAGGUUUUUCAUGUCUGAUUUUCCCUCUUGAAAUGUCUAGUUUCUUCACAUCUAAUUUUGUAAACCAAGGAAUGAAUAAAAACUAACCUGAAGAUGGCUCUUUAAGUGGUACAAGGUUAGUCCCGGGAUCCCCAUAAGUUUCAGAACUGAUUUCGGAGUGGCUUCUGCAAAAGAAGAAUGGUGAAUUUAAUUAUCUCAAUGAAAAAUAACAUACAUAUAUAUGGAGCUUAUCCAAAUUAACAAAUUUUGUGUGCACUUACUGUCUGCUCCACCUAGUUGGUUAACUGCUUCUAUAAACCUCUCAUGGAGGUCUGCUGUCCAUUUCAAUCUUGGCUUAGCAUCGGUCGAAAGAACAAGCCCUGAGUCUCCAUUGACAUUCCCAGCUUGCAGGAACAGAUGCCUUUCGGGGAAAGACAUUCUUGUCGAAGGGUGCAUAUUGGCAGCUUGGUGGUGAUGGUACAUCUUCUGGCCUUGAAUAUGAAUAUAUGAUGAUCAGCAAAUAAGUCUUACGGUAGGAUUUAUAGGAAUGAUGGGCGACAAAGUAUUUGUCACGUACGUGGAAGGAAUCUGAUGUCGCUUCAGGUUCAGUGACUCCAGUCUUUUCUUACCUUUUUAAUAGCAAGUAAUGAUUCUUUACUAUUCCUCACAGUAUAUAACAUUGUUUUACAUUUGGUUAAACAAAGGUGUCAGCUACAACUCUAUAUAUAUCUCAUUGUUUUCUUUGACCAAAUCCACAAAAAAGAUAUAAGGCAAGAUUCUAUGGAUUUAACUGAACCAAUUGUUUUCUGCUCGAACCAGGUAUAUAUACGAAGAAAAAAACAUUUAAAAUGUAUAUAUAUAAUAAGAUUACACUCAUUGUAAACUCAAUGAUUCUAGAUCCUGAAUUUGCCUCCGACUCUCAACCAAUCUAAUUUUCAUAGCAGCUAAAGAUAAAGGUGUUGGUUUUACACAUUUAUGGGUCCAGAAUGCAAGUUCGCUUUCUAAUCUACGGGAAAGGCACCAUGCAUUAUAUUCCUCUGCACUAUAAGUUCCUGAAACACUUACACACCUUACAAUAGGUACAAGAAUUGAUCCAGCAAAGACUUUUUUCUAUGCAAACAUAUUCUUUAUCUGGCAA
rnacentral:lncRNA from 1 species